UACGGAGGGUGCAAGCGUUAUCCGGAUUCACUGGGUUUAAAGGGUGCGUAGGCGGGCAGGUAAGUCAGUGGUGAAAUCUCCGAGCUUAACUCGGAAACUGCCUUUGAUACUAUCUGUCUUGAAUAUGGUGGAGGUAAGCGGAAUAUGUCAUGUAGCGGUGAAAUGCUUAGAUAUGACAUAGAACACCUAUUGCGAAGGCAGCUCGUUACACGAAGAUUGACUCUGAGGCACGAAAGCGUGGGGAUCAAACAGG
rnacentral:rRNA from 1 species